rnacentral:rRNA from 1 species
UACGUAGGGGGCUAGCGUUGUCCGGAAUCAUUGGGCGUAAAGAGCGCGUAGGCGGCCAGAUAAGUCCGGUGUGAAAGUCAGAGGCUCAACCUUUGAAUGCCGCUGGAAACUGUCUGGCUAGAGUCCGGGAGGGGCGAGUGGAAUUCCUGGUGUAGCGGUGAAAUGCGCAGAUAUCAGGAGGAACACCGGUGGCGAAGGCGGGUCUCUGGGCCGAUACUGACGCUGAGGAGCGAAAGCGUGGGGAGCGAACAGG